GUGAAAUUGAGGAUAAUACUCCAUAGAUCUUUGAGGCUGGAAUGCACUUAGUUUGAAAGCUUCUGCGCGUAAGGCUGAGUCUACUUCCUAUCAGGUAGUAGUCAGGGUAAAGACCUGACUAGCCUACGACGGAUACGGGUUGUGAGAGCAAUAACCCGGAGAUGAUAUCUGAUACACGAUAUCAGGCCCUACGGGGCGCAGCAGGCGCGAAAACUUCACAAUGCGCGAAAGCGCGAUGAGGGGAUCCCAAGUGCUUGCACGUAAGUGUAAGCUGUUUUUCUGUCUAAAAAGCAGAGAGAGUAAGGGCUGGGUAAGACGGGUGCCAGCCGCCGCGGUAAUACCUGCAGCUCAAGUGGUGGCCGCUAUUAUUGGGCCUAAAACGUCCGUAGCCGGCUGAGUAAAUGCCUGGGUAAAUCGUGUGGCUUAACCAUACGAAUUCCGGGUAGACUGCUCAGCUUGGGACCGGAAGAAGUUAGAGGUACUCCUGGGGUAGGGGUGAAAAUCCUGUAAUCCUGGGGGGACCACCAGUGGCGAAGGCGUCUAACUAGGGACGGGUCUGACGGUGAGGGACGAAGCCCUGGGGCGCAAACCGGAUUAGAUACCCCGGUAGUCCAGGGUGUAAACGCUGCGGGUUUGGUGUCGGAGGUCCUACGCGGGCGUCCGGGUGCCGGAGAGAAAUUGUUAAACCUGCCGCUUGGGGAGUACGGGUCGCAAGACUGAACUUAAA
rnacentral:rRNA from 1 species